GCAACUCGCCUACAUGAAGUCGGAAUUGCUAGUAAUCGCGGAUCAGCAUGCCGCGGUGAAUACGUUCCCGGGCCCUUGUACACACCGCCCGUCACACCAUGAGAGCCGGUAACACCCGAAGUCAGUAGCCUAACCGCAAGGGGGGCGCUGCCGAAGGUGGGAUUGGUAAUUGGGGUGAAGUCGUAACAAGGUACC
rnacentral:rRNA from 1 species